ACGUGGAGCGCAGUUCGGGUGGAGAGAACGGUGAAGCUGCAUGUGGUUCGUGGCCUGAGGACGCGCUGAGUGAGAGGGAGGGACGCACAGGUCGGGGCACACGGCUCGCUGGGCCUUGCGGCAGACAUGGGGAAGAAGCUGAAGGUGGGCAAGACCCGCAAAGAUAAAUUCUACCAUCUGGCCAAGGAGACAGGUUACCGUUCCCGGUCGGCAUUCAAGUUGAUUCAGCUGAACCGCAAGUUCCAGUUCCUGCAGCGUGCCCGCGCUCUCCUGGACCUCUGCGCCGCCCCAGGGGGAUGGCUCCAGGUUGCAGCCAACUUCAUGCCAGUUUCCAGCUUGGUCAUUGGUG